rnacentral:lncRNA from 1 species
GGUCUUCAAGAAGAUUGAUCUCCGCUGACUCGGUGUCAUCCCUAAGGCCGUGUCCACACGCUGUAACACUGCUACAGACAACUGAAGAAAACGGAGACGAAGAAGUAUACAAACUGCAGAAGAAGACAACAACAACAACAAAAAGAAGAUGGUGAACGCAAAGGAAAGCUCCAAGACCAAAGCCAAUCAAUUGGUGUGGACAAACAGCGAGGUGAAACUCCUGUUGCGAGUCACUCUAGACUACAAAUCAAAUAAGCUACAGGAGGGUGUCGACUGGGAGUCCUGCAAGUGGAAGUACGAGGACAUAAAGGGCCUGUUUGAGGCGCAAUACCCGAAUAAAUCGACAGAGAAGGAUUUCCCUCACGACGUGAAAACAAUAUCAAGAAUACAGGUCCAAACCAAGUUGAAAAAUAUACGAAAGAACUACAGGAAGGCGGUGGUCGCUGGGCGUCGAAGUGGCAGUCGGGUGGUGCUCAAGUAUUUUGAGCUAUGUGAGCAGCUUUGGGGUGGCUCGCCUGCUACGCAAUGUAUCGACGCCGCCAUCGAGACGAGUGACCAGGAGGGCAUUGAGGACCUCGAAUACUCCUCUUCAGAGUCAGCGGAGACUGCUGAUUCUGAACCAACUGAAGCCAUACAAAAUCUCUCUCCUGCGGUUGUAAAGAAGCGCAGGGAUUUGCUCCAGGUAGGCUCAUGAUUUCUAGCUGUGCGAGCUACCUAUAUGCUUUGACGCUUACCGUUUGAUAUGCACACAGUUUAGAAUCCGAUGCUUGUUUUGUGUAGGUGCUUUAGUACACAAUUUAUAACAUAGCUUUGGCCUUAGACGUUUGCAUAAUAAUGUGAUAUUUGUUCUGCUUUAUCCGAGGCAAAGCUGAACAACCACAGAGGGGACAGGCUAAAGAGGAAGGUACCGGCUACCCCCCUCGAGCAGGAGGAUCUUCAAAUAAAGAGGCGGAUGGAGGAGAAAAAUCCGGGGACAUUUUCAGUUCAAACACGGUCUUCAAGAAGAUUGAUCUCCGCUGACACAGUGUCAUCCCUAAGGCCCUGUCCACAUGCUGUAACACUGCUACAGACAACUGAAGAAAACGGAGAAGGUGACAUGGAGCAUGCGAAUAAAGCAUGCAAGCUGUAUACAAACUCCGCAGAAGAAGACGACAACAACAAGAAGAUGGCGAACGCAAAGGAAAGCUCCAAGACCAAAAUCGAUUUGUUGGUGUGGACAGACAACGAAGUGAAACUCCUGUUGCAAGUCACUCUGGACUACAAAUCAAAUAAGAUACAGGAGGGUGUCGACUGGGAGUCCUGCAAGUCGAAGUACGAGGACAUAAAGGGCCUGUUUGAGGCGCAAUACCCGAAUAACUCGACGGGGGGGGAUUUCCCUCACGACGCGAAAACAAUGUCAAGAAUACAGGUCACAACCAAGUUGAAAAACAUUAAAAGGAACUACAGGAAGGCAGUGGACACUGGGUGUCGAAGUGGCAAUGGGCGGGUGGUGCUCAUGAAUUUUGAGCUCUGUGAGCAGCUUUGGGGUGGCUCGCCUGCUACGCAGUGUAUAGACGCCGCCAUCGAGACGGGUGACCUGGAGGACCUCGAAGUCUCCUCUCCAGAGACAGCGGAGACUGCCGAUUCUGAACCAACUGAAGCCAUACAAAAUCUCUCUCCUGCGGUUGUAAAGAAGCGCAGGGAUUUGCUCCAGGCAAAGCUGAACAACCACAGAGGGGACAGGCUAAAGAGGAAGGUUCCGGCUACCCCCCUUGAGCAGAGUCACAAAGUGGCUGAAAUGAAGAUUAGUAAAGGAUCUUCAAGAACAAACUCCGCAGUAGAAGAAAACAACAACAAUAAGAAGAUAGCGAACGCAGAGGAAAGCUCCAAGACCCAAAUCGAUUCGUUGGUGUGGACAGACGACGAGGUGAAACUCCUGUUGCAAGUCACUCUGGACUACAAAUCAAAUAAGAUACAGGAGGGUGUCGAAUGGGAGUCCUGCAAGUCGAAGUACGAGGACAUAAAGGGCCUGUUUGAGGCGCAAUACCCGAAGAACUCGACAGAGAAGGAUUUCCCUCACGACGCGAAAACAAUAUCAAGAGUACAGGUCACAAGCAAGUUGAAAAAUGUUAAAAUGAACUACAGGAAGGCGGUAGACGCUGGGCGUCGAAGUGGCAAUGGGCGGGUGGUGCUAAUAUAUUUUGAGCUAUGUGAGCAGCUUUGGGGUGGUUCGCCUGCUACGCAAUGUAUCGACGCCGCCAUCGAGACGAGUGACCAGGAGGGCAUUGAGGACCUCGAAUACUCCUCUUCAGAGUCAGAGGAGACUGCUGAUUCUGAACCAACUGAAGCCAUACGAAAUUUUCCUCCUGCAGUUGUAAAGAAGCGCAGGGAUUUGCUCCAGGCAAAGCUGAACAACCACAGAGGGGACAGGCUAAAGAGGAAGGUUCCGGCUACCCCCCUCGAGCAGGAGGAUCUUCAAAUAAAGAGGCGGAUGUUGGCGUUAAUGGAGGAGAAUUCCAGACGCAACUCGGACAACAUUGCCCAAAUCAACACAAACAUUGGGCAAAUUACCAGCACUAUACAGGACGGCAUCUCCCUGAUGAGGGAGUUAUUACUCCAGCCCAAUGCAAGUAACUUUGCACACCCCCACAGCAGCAGCGUUGGGAAUGGGCAAUUCCAAGGGCACCCACCAGCUUUCAUGCAUACCACACCGCACCCCAGUACACCGGCCUUCCGGCACACACCUAGGCCUCAACAAGCAAAUACACACAAUCACAUGCCACCCCAAUAUCCACCAACACAUGCCGCCCCACAGCAGUCAUUUUCGUACGGAUGACCAUGCACUGUGCCUCGCUCUGUUGCACUGCACUGUUGCACUGGACUUUACACUUGUUAUUUUUUAUUUUUUUGUAUUGUAUAUAGUAAAAUCCUUUGUGUUUUAAAGUUUUAAUAUUUAGAUAGUUGAUUUUUUUUAAUUACCACUUAUCUGUCCUAAGGACAGUUAUUCUGAUAUUGCAUUUGCAUAUCCAAUAAAUAAAAAAAUACUAGAAGCUCA